UACAGAGGGGGCAAGCGUUGUUCGGAAUUACUGGGCGUAAAGGGCGCGUAGGCGGCCUGCUAAGUCGAACGUGAAAUCCCCGAGCUCAACUCGGGAACUGCGUCCGAUACUGGCAGGCUUGAAUCCGGGAGAGGGAUGCGGAAUUCCAGGUGUAGCGGUGAAAUGCGUAGAUAUCUGGAGGAACACCGGUGGCGAAGGCGGCAUCCUGGACCGGCAUUGACGCUGAGGCGCGGAAAGCCAGGGGAGCAAAGCAGG
rnacentral:rRNA from 1 species